UGGGGAAUAUUGCACAAUGGAGGGAACCCUGAUGCAGCGACGCCGCGUGAACGAAGAAGGCUUUCGAGUCGUAAAGUUCUUUUAUAUGGGAAGAUAAUGACGGUACCAUAAGAAAAAGCCCCGGCUAACUACGUGCCAGCAGCCGCGGUAAUACGUAGGGGGCUAGCGUUGUCCGGAAUCACUGGGCGUAAAGGGUUCGCAGGCGGAAAUGCAAGUCAGGUGUAAAAGGCAGUAGCUUAACUACUGUAAGCAUUUGAAACUGCAUAUCUUGAGAAGAGUAGAGGUAAGUGGAAUUUUUAGUGUAGCGGUGAAAUGCGUAGAUAUUAAAAAGAAUACCGGUGGCGAAGGCGACUUACUGGGCUCAUUCUGACGCUGAGGAACGAAAGCGUGGGUAGCAAACAGG
rnacentral:rRNA from 1 species